rnacentral:rRNA from 1 species
GCAGGGGAUCGCAAGACCUCGCGCUGAUUGAGCGGCCGAUAUCAGAUUAGCUUGUUGGUGAGGUAAAAGCUCACCAAGGCGACGAUCUGUAGCGGGUCUGAGAGGAUGAUCCGCCACACUGGAACUGAGACACGGUCCAGACUCCUACGGGAGGCAGCAGUGGGGAAUUUUGGACAAUGGGGGCAACCCUGAUCCAGCCAUGCCGCGUGAGUGAAGAAGGCCUUCGGGUUGUAAAGCUCUUUCAGCCGGGAAGAAAACGCAUGGGUUAAUACCCUGUGUGGAUGACGGUACCGGAAUAAGAAGCACCGGCUAACUACGUGCCAGCAGCCGCGGUAAUACGUAGGGUGCGAGCGUUAAUCGGAAUUACUGGGCGUAAAGCGUGCGCAGGCGGUUUUGUAAGACAGGCGUGAAAUCCCCGGGCUUAACCUGGGAACUGCGUUUGUGACUGCAAGGCUAGAGUACGGCAGAGGGGGGUGGAAUUCCACGUGUAGCAGUGAAAUGCGUAGAGAUGUGGAGGAACACCAAUGGCGAAGGCAGCCCCCUGGGUCGAUACCGACGCUCAUGCACGAAAGCGUGGGUAGCAAACAGGAUUAGAUACCCUGGUAGUCCACGCCCUAAACGAUGUCAACUAGGUGUUGGGAGGGUAAAACCUUUUAGUACCGGAGCUAACGCGUGAAGUUGACCGCCUGGGGAGUACGGCCGCAAGGUUAAAACUCAAAGGAAUUGACGGGGACCCGCACAAGCGGUGGAUGAUGUGGAUUAAUUCGAUGCAACGCGAAAAACCUUACCUACCCUUGACAUGCCAAGAACUUUCCAGAGAUGGAUUGGUGCCCGAAAGGGAACUUGGACACAGGUGCUGCAUGGCUGUCGUCAGCUCGUGUCGUGAGAUGUUGGGUUAAGUCCCGCAACGAGCGCAACCCUUGUCGUUAAUUGCCAUCAUUUAGUUGGGCACUUUAACGAGACUGCCGGUGACAAACCGGAGGAAGGUGGGGAUGACGUCAAGUCCUCAUGGCCCUUAUGGGUAGGGCUUCACACGUCAUACAAUGGUCGGUACAAAGGGUCGCCAAGCCGCGAGGUGGAGCCAAUCCCAGAAAGCCGAUCGUAGUCCGGAUCGCAGUCUGCAACUCGACUGCGUGAAGUCGGAAUCGCUAGUAAUCGUGGAUCAGAAUGUCACGGUGAAUACGUUCCCGGGUCUUGUACACACCGCCCGUCACACCAUGGGAGCGGGUUCCGCCAGAAGUAGGUAGCCUAACCGCAAGGAGGGCGCUUACCACGGCGGGGUUCGUGACUGGGGUGAAGUCGUAACAAGGUA